rnacentral:rRNA from 1 species
ACCCGCUGAACUUAAGCAUAUCAAUAAGCGGAGGAAAAGAAACCAACAGGGAUUGCCCUAGUAACGGCGAGUGAAGCGGCAACAGCUCAAAUUUGAAAUCUGGCUCUUUCAGAGUCCGAGUUGUAAUUUGCAGAGGGCGCUUUGGAGUUGGCAGCGGUCCAAGUUCCUUGGAACAGGACGUCACAGAGGGUGAGAAUCCCGUACGUGGUCGCUAGCCUUCGCCGUGUAAAGCCCCUUCGACGAGUCGAGUUGUUUGGGAAUGCAGCUCUAAAUGGGAGGUAAAUUUCUUCUAAAGCUAAAUACUGGCCAGAGACCGAUAGCGCACAAGUAGAGUGAUCGAAAGAUGAAAAGCACUUUGGAAAGAGAGUCAAAUAGCACGUGAAAUUGUUGAAAGGGAAGCGCUUGCAGCCAGACUUGCCUGUAGUUGCUUAUCCGGACUCGUGUCCGGUGCACUCUUCUAUAGGCAGGCCAGCAUCAGUUUGGGCGGUUGGAUAAAGGUCUCUGUCACGUACCUCUCUUCGGGGAGGCCUUAUAGGGGAGACGACAUGCAACCAGCCUGGACUGAGGUCCGCGCAUCUGCUAGGAUGCUGGCGUAAUGGCUGUAAGCGGCCCGUCUUGAAACACGG